rnacentral:rRNA from 1 species
UACAGAGACUGCGAGCGUUAUUCGGAUUCACUGGGCGUAAAGGGUGCGCAGGCGGCCAAGUGUGUGAGGCGUGAAAGCCCGGGGCUUAACCCCGGAAUUGCACCUCAAACUACAUGGCUAGAGCAUUGGAGAGGGUAGCGGAAUUCACGGUGUAGCAGUGAAAUGCGUAGAUAUCGUGAGGAACACCAGAGGCGAAGGCGGCUACCUGGACAAUUGCUGACGCUCAGGCACGAAAGCGUGGGGAGCGAACAGG